GUCAGGUCAGUAUCACAGAGGACAGACAACAUCGUCAGGUCAGUAUCACAGAGGACAGGUGGCAUCGUCAGGUCAGUACCACAGAGGACAGACAACAUCGUCAGGUCAGUAUCACAGAGGACAGACAACAUUGUCAGGUCAGUACCACAGAGGACAGGUGACAUCGUCAGGUCAGUACCACAGAGGACAGGUGGCAUCGUCAGGUCAGUACCACAGAGGACAGGUGGCAUCGUCAGGUCAGUACCACAGAGGACAGACAACAUCGUCAGGUCAGUACCACAGAGGACAGACAACAUUGUCAGGUCAGUACCACAGAGGACAGGUGGCAUCGUCAGGUCAGUACCACAGAGGACAGGUGGCAUCGUCAGGUCAGUACCACAGAGGACAGACAACAUCGUCAGGUCAGUACCACAGAGGACAGACAACAUUGUCAGGUCAGUACCACAGAGGACAGGUGGCAUCGUCAGGUCAGUACCACAGAGGACAGGUGGCAUCGUCAGGUCAGUACCACAGAGGACAGGUGGCAUCGUCA